rnacentral:misc_RNA from 1 species
AACGCACAUUGCGCCCCUUGGUAUUCCAUGGGGCAUGCCUGUUCGAGCGUCAUUUACACCCUCAAGCUUUGCUUGGUGUUGGGCGUCUGUCCCAUGGGACUCGCCCCAAAGGCAUUGGCAGCGGUCCUGCCGGGCCUCCUAAUCGCGCAGCACUGUUCGCGCCGCCUGGAGCCCGUGUGGAUUCAGCAAUCCAUCAAGCCCACUUUUUUUUCGAACUUGACCUCGAAUCAGGUAGGGAUACCCGCUGAACUUAA